rnacentral:rRNA from 1 species
CAGCAGCCGCGGGAACACGUAGGGUGCGAGCGUUAAUCGGAAUUACUGGGCGUAAAGCGUGCGCAGGCGGUUGUGUAAGACAGGUGUGAAAUCCCCGGGCUUAACCUGGGAACUGCGCUUGUGACUGCACAGCUAGAGUAUGGCAGAGGGGGGUGGAAUUCCACGUGUAGCAGUGAAAUGCGUAGAGAUGUGGAGGAACACCGAUGGCGAAGGCAGCCCCCUGGGCCAAUACUGACGCUCAUGCACGAAAGCGUGGGGAGCAAACAGGAUUAGAUACCCGAGUAGUCCCUGUCUCUUAUAA